rnacentral:miRNA from 1 species
GUCCUGGGUGUUGUUCAAC